GAUGAACGCUGGCGGCGUGCCUAAUACAUGCAAGUCGAGCGAACGGACGAGAAGCUUGCUUCUCUGAUGUUAGCGGCGGACGGGUGAGUAACACGUGGAUAACCUACCUAUAAGACUGGGAUAACUUCGGGAAACCGGAGCUAAUACCGGAUAAUAUUUUGAACCGCAUGGUUCAAAAGUGAAAGACGGUCUUGCUGUCACUUAUAGAUGGAUCCGCGCUGCAUUAGCUAGUUGGUAAGGUAACGGCUUACCAAGGCAACGAUGCAUAGCCGACCUGAGAGGGUGAUCGGCCACACUGGAACUGAGACACGGUCCAGACUCCUACGGGAGGCAGCAGUAGGGAAUCUUCCGCAAUGGGCGAAAGCCUGACGGAGCAACGCCGCGUGAGUGAUGAAGGUCUUCGGAUCGUAAAACUCUGUUAUUAGGGAAGAACAUAUGUGUAAGUAACUGUGCACAUCUUGACGGUACCUAAUCAGAAAGCCACGGCUAACUACGUGCCAGCAGCCGCGGUAAUACGUAGGUGGCAAGCGUUAUCCGGAAUUAUUGGGCGUAAAGCGCGCGUAGGCGGUUUUUUAAGUCUGAUGUGAAAGCCCACGGCUCAACCGUGGAGGGUCAUUGGAAACUGGAAAACUUGAGUGCAGAAGAGGAAAGUGGAAUUCCAUGUGUAGCGGUGAAAUGCGCAGAGAUAUGGAGGAACACCAGUGGCGAAGGCGACUUUCUGGUCUGUAACUGACGCUGAUGUGCGAAAGCGUGGGGAUCAAACAGGAUUAGAUACCCUGGUAGUCCACGCCGUAAACGAUGAGUGCUAAGUGUUAGGGGGUUUCCGCCCCUUAGUGCUGCAGCUAACGCAUUAAGCACUCCGCCUGGGGAGUACGACCGCAAGGUUGAAACUCAAAGGAAUUGACGGGAACCCGCACAAGCGGUGGAGCAUGUGGUUUAAUUCGAAGCAACGCGAAGAACCUUACCAAAUCUUGACAUCCUUUGACAACUCUAGAGAUAGAGCUUUCCCCUUCGGGGGACAAAGUGACAGGUGGUGCAUGGUUGUCGUCAGCUCGUGUCGUGAGAUGUUGGGUUAAGUCCCGCAACGAGCGCAACCCUUAAGCUUAGUUGCCAUCAUUAAGUUGGGCACUCUAAGUUGACUGCCGGUGACAAACCGGAGGAAGGUGGGGAUGACGUCAAAUCAUCAUGCCCCUUAUGAUUUGGGCUACACACGUGCUACAAUGGACAAUACAAAGGGCAGCGAAACCGUGAGGUCAAGCAAAUCCCAUAAAGUUGUUCUCAGUUCGGAUUGUAGUCUGCAACUCGACUACAUGAAGCUGGAAUCGCUAGUAAUCGUAGAUCAGCAUGCUACGGUGAAUACGUUCCCGGGUCU
rnacentral:rRNA from 1 species